CACACACACUCGCACGCACAGGGCCCGGAGGAGGCGGAGAGCCGGGCCGGGAGCCCAGCGGCCGGGCCAUUGUCUGCGCGGCCACACAAAGCGGCCGGGCGGUGGCCGCGCGGGGACCCCGGCCCGGGCCCGGCAGGCGCAGAGUGGGGCGGGACGGCCGUGGCACCCGUACCUCGCACCCCGCCGCUGCGGACACGUGGGGAAACUGAGGCCGGGAGUGGCGAUGAGCCCCAACGCCAGAGGACGAGCUCCUCGUCCGGGGAAGGUUUCGUCUUCCGGACGCUCCCCCGGUCCACCCCCCAUUUUCACGCCCUGCCCCCACGGAGAGACCCAUGGGCCCACCGGGAACGAGGAGGGGCGCGCGCUUCGCCGCCUCAUCAACCCGCACUCCUGGACCCCUCUUCAAAGGCACCAGGCUGGGCAGGCGCUUCCCGGAGUUGGACAUAGACUUUGUGGCCGGUGGUUAUUUUUAUACCCUGGGUAGUUCUCUGCCUGACUUUUAAAUUCCAGAUUUGUUUGAAAACGAAAGGAAGCACUCCUGCCCCGGGACAGCUGGGGCCUCCUCCGCGCCGCGCGCUGCCCGCCGUCUCAGGCGGCUGGAAUUCGGGUUUGGGUGUGAGGUACCUGCGAGCCGCCAAGCCCAGCCUUCCUGAGCAGGCGCCGAGGCGCCCGGCCGCGCCCACGCUCCGCGCCCCCACCGCGAGCUUGCUGCCCGCUUAGACCUCAGGGCCCGGGCUGCGAGGCACAGGGGCUGACCAGUCACGCAGGCUACACGUGGUGGCCCGGGUCAGGGGACGCUAAUGGGGAGGGAGGUGAGGAGGUGAUGACCGCGUGUGGACAGGCAUGACACCGCCCAGAGGUAAAACAGCCCAAGGCCAGAGAGGUGUCCUGCUGCCUGGGUGCCCCUCAAGUCGGGCCACCUGGAGCUGGAUUCCACAAGGGGUCCGGUGGCCUGUCCCGGUGGGAGGUCUUGGUUCCACUUGGGACAGGAGUGCCCUGGUUGGGCAGUCCACCCCCAGCACAGCCAGAGGCCAAGGUAGCCCUCUCCUCCUCCGCCUCUUCACUGAUGCCUGGGCCCCUACCAAAGGCCACCCUGUGCCCCUUACACACCCUGUCCAACAGACAGCCUGCCCCCCUCCCUCCGGGAUGAGGGCCACUGUUGACACCUGGUCCUCACCCACUGUGGUCACAGCCACAACAAACCCACUUCCCCACUGCACAUGGCAUGCCGGCCCAACCCACUGCCCUUCUAAAACAGUUUCUCCUGCCAGGGAGGGGGCGACAAACAUAGGCUAGGACCGAGAAAGAGCCCCCAUAAGCGCCAGCAUACACUGCGCAAGUGCCAUGUGCCCAGCUGGUUCCAGGCCUGUCUCUGUCACUGCUUUGGCCCCGUUCUGACUGUACUCAGGUGGAGGGGGGAGGUCCCAGAUGGACAAGGCCUGGGCCAGAUUGCAGGUCCACUUCCUAUCAACCGUGUGGCCUGGCUGGGUCACUUCCCUCCUUGUAUCUCAGUUUCCUCAUCUGUAAAGUGGGGACAACCACUCCCUCCUCAGACUCACUGAGAUGACUAAAUGAGAUAAUAUGGAGAGUCGGCCCUCAGGAGGAGGAGCUUGGUGUGAAGGUUAUUGUGAUGAUGAUGAUGAAAUGACGCUGAGUUAGGCAGGCCCUUUGCGUAUGCUCAGUGCUGGGAGAGCAAGGCCUUCUCCAGCCUUCUGGGAUCACUGAUUCUUGAGUCAGGUUUUGGAGGAGGGAGGUUCCGUCAGGCAGCGGCCGCCCAGGCAGCAGGGCCGGCUGAGCAGCGGCCUGCGGAGGGAAGGAGCAGCAGGUCGCAGCCGGCAAGUCAAGACAUGCCAGGUAGUGGUGGGAAGGCUGGGCCGAAGUGUCUGAGGUCACCUCCCAACAGUGGGCUGUGUGGCACGCUGUACUCCCCACCCCAGCCCCAUCUCACUCCUUGUCCCCGAAAACUCAAGACUCAGGAGCUGUUGGUGCUUGGAGUCGGGGAGGCACACGCAGACAGAUUUCCACGUGGGUUCCUCCUGGGAAGGCUGAAGGUUCCAGAAGGGCCCUCUGUUCCUAAGGAACACCGGAAGGCGUCAUCCCCUGCUCUAGAGACCACGUGGAGAGUGCACGGAGUCCGGAGUCCUGCAGAUCUGGGCUCACAUCCAGCCUCCGUGCCCACAGACGAUGGAAACACUGAGGCCGAGAGCAGCAGUGACUGACUCCAGACCACGCGGUGACUCUGGCACCGCAGUCACCAGAUGCAGGGCUGAGGUCAGUGGUCAGAACCCCCAGGGAAGCCCCCAGACAACCACUGACCUCCGCCCCCAGCCUCCAAUGAGCCGCACCGCCUCCCUGCUUCUCACAGCGCAGGUCGGCUGGCCUGAGCAGCUGGUGCCAGGUGAGACCAAAGUCCAGGGGGAAGGGACACAGGUGACAGACUUGGAAAACAGGGUGCUGAGGAAGGUACCAGGAGGAGAAGGCCAUAGCCUGGCUCUGCCACCAACUCUUACAUGGCCCUUGGACAAGGGCACUCUCAAGACAUCAGUCUCUUCUUCUACAAAAUAGAGAAAAGAACCAGCUAAUCACAGAAAUAAGAAUAUGACUACAGGGAAACAGAAUGACAACCUGUCUCACAGGAGCUAAGGAGACACACGGAGGCCAACGCUCCCAGCCUGGGGCCGAGCCCAGCCUCCCUGGCUCUGAAGGUGGCACGCCGCUCCCUGGCGCCUCUGCACCGUGCACCCCCAGACGCCCAUCAGGCGAGGAGAUUAUGUGUUUUAUCGGGGGCAUUUAUUAUCGACACUUUCUCCAUACAUCUCCCCCUGCACAUGUGUGUACAUACAAGGCGGAUGGAUGUGCGGGAAGGCCCCGAGCCCGGUCCCCCCGAUGUAGUCGAGCGGCCCCCAUAAAGAUAACGGGAAAUGAUUCAUAAUAUUUAUUUGACAGACAUGAUAUGAACCGUAAUAGUCUGUUGGGAUUAAAAAUAUCCGUACAUCUCUGUCAUCCACCAAUGUGGUUU